AGGUUUAAAGUAAAGCAGCCCCCACCCAGCACAGGACUGAAAGUGACUUACAAACCUGGACCUGUGGCAGCUGGUAUGCAGACAGAACUGAAUAUAGAGUUAUUUGCCACAGCUGUUGGAGAGGAUGGGGCCAAGGGAUCAGCACACAUCUCUCACAAUAUCGAGAUUAUGACAGAGCAUGAGUGUCUUCAGCCAAACAGAUAUUAGAUAGAUAUCAAGAACCUAUUACCUCCAAGAUGCCGAAACGCCUGCCUUUAUGUAGCUUACAUUCCAGUGGGAGGACAGACAAUACAUAAACAAUUAUGAUAAACGACCAAAAGACUUUCCCCAGGGAAAAGAAAAUCCAAUGGUCCAGAGAACUUCUACAAUUUAUUCCUCCACACUUGGAGUCUUCAUGUCUCGUAAAGUUUCUCCACAUUAGUUUCUUCUCGGUACAACUCAAUAGCCUCCAUAAUCCUCUCAGCCUACAGAGGAUGAGAAAGGAAAGAAGUCAUCACAACAUACUCCAUCAUCCCAGGACACUGAAACUGGAAGAACUGACCAGAAAUUUGCCAAAUGAAAUAGCUUCAAUCUGUUUAAUAAAGACGUGCGAAUAGAG
rnacentral:lncRNA from 1 species